GUAAAUAUUUUCCCUGGUUUUUGUUAAAACAUGAACUGGUGAACAUUUUAGUGCCAUCUGAGGAUAACACGUGUUCAGCUACAUACAUAUGCACUCCAUGAACUCUAACUUCCUCAAAUGCUGCCAUCCCAGCUGGCAUGUAUGACCCAGUGACCAGGUUAACUCUCAGCAGGAGUGUUCUGCGCCAGUGGCUCAGAUUCUUUAUCUCCUGACUUAGUCCCGACCGACAGAUCGUCUCUCCAGAUUGUGCUCACACAGAAGUAUGAUCAACUUGACUUUAAUGAAACCCAACAGAAACAGUUUCUCAAGACCACACUUCAGUCACCCCCAGAUGAUUAAUGUAGCAAAGAUGCUGAGGCCAAGAAACAUCAUAAUUCUCUGACCUGGCUAGAACAUCUGAAACAGAGAUCCAUGGUCACUCAUUUCUCAUGAAAGAUCUGUAGAGCAGAAGGCACAUAACCCACAUGCUUUUAAUGUACUUUCCCAUCCCCUCUUCAGAGGUCCCAGAUACUAAAGAAAAAAGAUAAGGUCAAGGCUGGCGUUUUGAAAAAUAGAUGAAGCAUUCGAGGGAACCAUCAGUGUUACAUUUUCAUACAAGACUGGGACAUUCGUGCUCUGGUUUCUAGAAUCUACUUCUGUGCAAAUAAUUAGCUUUCAUGACAGUAACAGCGGCAAGAAAAUAAUUCUGAGCUGACCCAAACAGGAAUUGCAUACAGUCCUUAUCUUGGAUUCAUUUAAUGAUUGUGAAAUCAUUUUGGUUUAAAAAUUCAUAAUGCUCAUUUCAGAGCUUGAUUUUAGUCACUGUAAUAACAUCUUAGAUUCCCCUUCUGGGCUGCAUAACUUCAUAUUGUAAGAGUCUUUGCUAGCUUUUUAAGAACUAGAUAUGAAAAAGUGGUGGUAAAUCUCUGGCUCCAUCAAAGUCAAAAAAUGCGCUUUGUGAUUGGCUUUGAAGAUAGUUUGGUUUGAUUCUGUAUAUUUUAGGAAGGUUUUAAAGAAUCUUUCAAGCUCUAGAUUAUUUCCUGAAACUGGGGAAAAAACCCAAACCAAAACAAUAAAACACCCAACCACGUUGUACAGCAAGAAAGCAGCUUUCUGUCCUAUAGACUAAAGAAAGAUUUUUGUGAUUGGAUGCCAAAGGGAAAGACUAGCAACUGCCUGCCAGGUCAUGCACAAAUUCUGCAGCCAUCCUUUUGACCCUGUUGCUGUAAUAUCCUUUUUUCUGGCUGUUAUAGAAAACAGCCAUAUCAAGUUGAGUGAGAGAGCUAUUGGCCUUUUACUGCAGGUUUGCUUUCUUGAUUAUUCACCUCCCUGCUCUAUUUACAGUGUGCAUUCUUUGGCCAACUAUGUGACCAAAACCUCAGCAUUUAAACAAAGGCAUCAAGAUAAACUAACUGUGUUAGACCAUGGAGAG